rnacentral:rRNA from 1 species
GACUAACGGCUGGCGGCGUGCCUAACACAUGCAAGUCGAACGAGUUGUUUAUAGUAGCAAUAUUAGUGAACAGCAAGUGGCGAACGGGUGAGUAACACGUAGAUAAUCUGCCUUUCAGACGGGGACAACUCAGGGAAACUUGUGCUAAUACCCGAUGAGACUACGAGGGGGGACUUUCGUAGCCAAAGGUGGGGGCAACCUCACGCUGAAAGAUGAGUCUGCGUCCUAUCAGCUAGUUGGUGGGGUAAAAGCCUACCAAGGCGAAGACGGGUAGCCGGCCUGAGAGGGUGAACGGCCACACUGGGACUGAGACACGGCCCAGACUCCUACGGGAGGCAGCAGUGAGGAAUUUUCCGCAAUGGGCGCAAGCCUGACGGAGCGACGCCGCGUGAGGGAUGACGGCCUUCGGGUUGUAAACCUCUUUUAUUAGGGAAAAAGACAUUUGUGCUAAUACCACGGAUGUUUGAUUGUACCUGUUGAAUAAGCCCCGGCUAACUACGUG